rnacentral:tRNA from 1 species
GGAGAGAUGCCUGAGUGGUUGAAAGGGGCGGUCUCGAAAACCGUUGAACCCGCAAGGGUUCCCAGGGUUCGAAUCCCUGUCUCUCCG